rnacentral:misc_RNA from 1 species
UUAUUUGCCGAUACUACAAAUUCAAAGAAAGGGAAAAAUGCGUUUUUAGAUUGGAGGAAUUCAAAGAACAAGCACAAAAACUUAGAUGAUAUCAUGACUUGGCUAGAAUGGAUCCUAUCUCAUACACUUCUGCGUACUGCUGAGAGCAAUCCACAAGGUCUGGAUGAUUUCUGGCUAAAGCAAGGUACAGCAAUAUUGCUUAGUUUAAUGCAGAGCUCACAGGAAGAUGUGCAAGAAAGGGCAGCAACAGGACUUGCAACUUUUGUGGUCAUUGAUGAUGAAAAUGCUAGCAUAGAUUGUGGAAGGGCUGAAGCAGUUAUGCGAGAUGGUGGUAUACGCCUCCUUCUAGACCUUGCGGAUUGAGGUCUUCAGUCAGAGGCUGCUAAGGCUAUAGCAAACUUGUCCGUGAAUGCAAAUGUUGCAAAAGCUGUUGCAGAAGAAGGAGGAAUCAA